rnacentral:piRNA from 1 species
UGGGUAGUCCCUUGAGUGGUUAUUGUU